rnacentral:misc_RNA from 1 species
GUGUGUGUGUGUGUGUGUGCAUAUUCCAUAGACUAGGGGGGUGACAAUGCGGCAUCAAUAAUUUAUCCCCUUUUUGUGGUAUGAACCUAGUCUGCCAUGUGGCAUAUGAACUAACCACUUCUAUCAUGCCACAUAUAUAUACCUGUAAAAAAAUUAUCUAAAUUAUCACCUAAAAUUACUCAACAUAUAUUGCUUGAUGUUAGUAGGUAGGCCACAAAUACACAUGGUGGACUGAGUUCAUAUGAGAACUUUCCCUUUUGUGAGCCUGUCUAACUGCCUCAUAAAAGAGUAUAGUUUUAUGGUUGAAAUCAUUGUUGUCCAAGACUCUGAAGCUAGAUUAUGUUAAUCAAUUUUAUAAGUGCUU